GGUACCGUCAUCGAAUAGGCUUUCCACUCCUAUCCUUAUUCUUCCCUUAUAAAAGAACUUUACAACAUUUCUGCCUUCAUCGUUCACGCGGCGUCGCUCCGUCAGGAUUUCUCCCAUUGCGGAAUAUUCUUAG
rnacentral:rRNA from 1 species